AUUGAACGCUGGCGGCAUGCCUUACACAUGCAAGUCGAACGGCAGCGGGGGAGAAGCUUGCUUUUCCUGCCGGCGAGUGGCGAACGGGUGAGUAAUACAUCGGAACGUGCCCUGUAGUGGGGGAUAACUAGUCGAAAGAUUAGCUAAUACCGCAUACGACCUGAGGGUGAAAGUGGGGGACCGCAAGGCCUCAUGCUAUAGGAGCGGCCGAUGGCGGAUUAGCUAGUUGGUGGGGUAAAGGCCUACCAAGGCGACGAUCAGUAGCUGGUCUGAGAGGACGAUCAGCCACACUGGGACUGAGACACGGCCCAGACUCCUACGGGAGGCAGCAGUGGGGAAUUUUGGACAAUGGGCGAAAGCCUGAUCCAGCAAUGCCGCGUGUGUGAAGAAGGCCUUUGGGUUGUAAAGCACUUUUGUCCGGAAAGAAAUGGCUCUGGUUAAUACCUGGGGUCGAUGACGGUACCGGAAGAAUAAGGACCGGCUAACUACGUGCCAGCCGCCGCCGUAA
rnacentral:rRNA from 1 species